CAGCAGUAGCCGCGGUAAUACGAAGGGUGCAAGCGUUACUCGGAAUUACUGGGCGUAAAGCGUGCGUAGGUGGUGGUUUAAGUCCGUUGUGAAAGCCCUGGGCUCAACCUGGGAAUUGCAGUGGAUACUGGGUCACUAGAGUGUGGUAGAGGAUAGUGGAAUUUCCGGUGUAGCAGUGAAAUGCGUAGAGAUCGGAAGGAACAUCUGUGGCGAAGGCGACUAUCUGGGCCAACACUGACACUGAGGCACGAAAGCGUGGGGAGCAAACAGGAUUAGAUACCCCAGUAGUCCCUGUCUCUUAUAC
rnacentral:rRNA from 1 species